AACGCUCGGUUUGAGUUCUUAACACGUCACUGAUGAAAUUUCUCAAAAGAUGCUGGACGCUCCAAAGUUUAGGUUGGUGGUAAUGGAAGUUAAAAACCACUAAGGAGUGUGAAAAAUAUCACCUUCCAAGUCAAUUAAUCCUGAAAAUGGAUGAUGUCAGACAGCUGGACCUAUUUCGCACUGUUCCUGUAAACUUGACCUAAAAAUGAUAACA
rnacentral:ncRNA from 1 species